GCAGGCUGCAACCCGCCUGCAUGAAGUUGGAAUCGCUAGUAAUCGCGGAUCAGCAUGCCGCGGUGAAUACGUUCCCGGGCCUUGUACACACCGCCCGUCACACCAUGAGAGUCGGGAACACCCGAAGUCCGUAGCCUGACCGCAAGGAGGGCGCGGCCGAAGGUGGGUUCGAUAAUUGGGGUGAAGUCGUAACAAGGUAAC
rnacentral:rRNA from 1 species